rnacentral:tRNA from 1 species
GAGGGUAUAGCUUGGUGGUAGAGUGUGUGUCUAGAAUGCACAAGGUCCUGGGUUCAACCCCUAGUACCACCA